rnacentral:rRNA from 1 species
CCGCGGGAUUAGAGUUUGAUCAUGGCUCAGGAUGAACGCUAGCGGCAGGCCUAAUACAUGCAAGUCGAGGGGUAAGGUCUCUUUCGGGAGAUACACGACCGGCGCACGGGUGCGUAACGCGUAUGCAACCUACCUUUAACAGAGGGAUAGCCCCGAGAAAUCGGGAUUAAUACCACAUAACACCACAUUGUUUCAUGACAGAGUGGUUAAAGCUCCGGCGGUUAAAGAUGGGCAUGCGUGACAUUAGCUAGUUGGUGAGGUAACUGCUCACCAAGGCAACGAUGUCUAGGGGUUCUGAGAGGAUGAUCCCCCACACUGGUACUGAGACACGGACCAGACUCCUACGGGAGGCAGCAGUAAGGAAUAUUGCGCAAUGGAGGCAACUCUGACGCAGCCAUGCCGCGUGCAGGAAGAAGGCCUUAUGGGUCGUAAACUGCUUUUAUUUAGGAAUAAUCCCCCCAACGUGUUGGGGGUUGAAGGUACUAAACGAAUAAGCACCGGCUAACUCCGUGCCAGCAGCCGCGGUAAUACGGAGGGUGCAAGCGUUAUCCGGAUUUAUUGGGUUUAAAGGG